GCAAUCGUUGCGGCGCAACGGCGGCCACCACUGUACGUCAUUUCUCGAAUAGCUUCAUUAUUCUCUUCUUCACAAACCCUUCCUUUUUGUAAAGUAAUUUAUCUCCCUCAAAACACUCACUUCUCUCAGCAACAGGCUACACCACUAGCUGCUCCUUUGGCCGCGGAGAUCAUUCAUUUUUCUCUCUAUUCUUCUCUCAAAAGCUCUUGCUCUUGUUUCGAGAAUCAGCGAGUCUCGCUGAAAAUCAUCGGAGCAUACAUUCAACGACGGGCUAUGCUCGAGAUCAUACAAUUGCGUUUAUAGCUUUUCAGGAGCUGCGUGAAUCGCUCGAUCGACGAAGCUGGAAUUCAUUCUCUAGCAGUAUUCGGCAAUUGGGAGGUCAAUUGUGAGAAAUGCAGUCCCUUCGUGGUGGUCUUCGUCUGCUUCAAAGGCAGAACUUUGCCAGCUCAAACAUUGCCCAUUUGAAGUCCACAAGGGCAUCCUCAGUUACUAGCAGCACUACUACCCGAGGACUGAGCAAUUUGGAAUUUAAUUCUUCAGCUCCUGAUGGAAUUGUUUCUUCAAAAUCUAUUGAUUCUUCAACACGUUCCUUAGAGAGUUACUUGUUUCCCUCACUUACAAAGCCAGCUGUUUGUUCUCCAGUAUCAUUUCAGACAAAAUAUGGAUCUGGACAAGAGAAGUUGACUUUGUCAAACAGUUACAGUAGGAGUUCAAGGUCUGCCUCUUUCCAGUUGGUACCAGGGAUGCCUCUUUUCUCUAAGAGGUGCAUUACAACAUUGGAAGAAAUUAGUCAGAAGGCUUUACGAGAUUCGUCUGCAACUGGCUCUGAUAUAACUCCACAUAUCAAAUUCAAGAGGCUUGAUAAAACGGCCAGGCAUAUAAUGCAGAUUAUAGAUAAGGAAGCUGUAGAGGAAGUCAGGGCAUACAGAGAGAUACCUGAUAUAAAGCCUGGUUACAUUGUGCAACUGAAAGUGGAGGUACCUGAAAACAAGAGACGGGUUUCCAUUUUGAAAGGCAUUGUCAUAGCAAGGCGUAAUGCUGGUAUUAGCACUACAUUUAGGAUCAGAAGGCUAGUGGCUGGAGUUGGGGUUGAGUCCCUCUUCCUCUUGUAUUCCCCAAACAUAAAGGAGAUAAAGGUGCUGGACAAGAAGAAAGUGCGGAGGGCAAAGCUCUACUAUCUAAGGGACAAGAUGAAUGCACUCAAAAGACAGUAGAUUGGCUUGAUAAUAGUGGAUCACUUAAUUUAGAUAUUUUUCUUCUUAGACAAAUGAUGUUUUUUGUUUUCUCAAAAUUUAUCAGGUUUAAUGCAUGCAUAUUUGAAUAUGCUGGGAUGGUGUUUGAACUUGAAACGGUGGAGAUGGGAGGCUGAGUUCCUUUGUGUUAUGCCGGAAUUGGUGCAAUCAUAUUCAUAACACCAGUAGAUAUGCCAUUUUUAAGCAUAUGGUUUUUUCCCCCAACUAUGCCCCACCUCUUCUUUCCUGUUCUUUUUUUUUUUCCUUGAAUGAAGAGAAAAAAACACAAGAAUCAGCUCAUAGUAAGCCCACACCCAGAAGGCUGUCAUCGAGAAUAUUCAAGGACAGGGGCAAACCUGUGCUCUGUGGAGCCCGAGGUCAUCAAGGCUGGUACAGAAUGCGAUUGGUGAAACCCUGAGCUGGCUGGUCAGGUAAUAAAUGUUACAUAUGUUGACGCCGAAAGCUUUAGCAUGAUUCUUCCAAACCAAGUGCCAGUUGUGAAGAUGAUACUCCACUCUAAACGAAUCAACCUUUGGAGGCUCAUGCACACAAAUCAUGAAGAGAAGAUUGCUUAUGCACAAUUGAGACAAUUAGGAAAACCUGUGAGGCAU